CCUACGGGCGGCUGCAGUGGGGAAUAUUGGACAAUGGGCGAAAGCCUGAUCCAGCCAUGCCGCGUGUGUGAAGAAGGCCUUCGGGUUGUAAAGCACUUUCAGUGGGGAAGAAAGCCUUGGGGCUAAUACCCUCGAGGAAGGACAUCACCCACAGAAGAAGCACCGGCUAACUCCGUGCCAGCAGCCGCGGUAAUACGGAGGGUGCGAGCGUUAAUCGGAAUUACUGGGCGUAAAGCGCGCGUAGGCGGUCUGAUAAGCCGGUUGUGAAAGCCCCGGGCUCAACCUGGGAACGGCAUCCGGAACGGUGGGGCGAGAGGGCAGGAGAGGAAGGUAGAAUUCCCGGUGUAGGGGUGAAAGGCGUAGAGAUCGGGGGGAAGACCGGUGGCGAAGGGGGCAUUCGGGAAUGACACUGACGCUGAGGUGCGAAAGCUUGGUUAGCAACCAGGAUUAGAUACCCCUAGC
rnacentral:rRNA from 1 species